UGGGGAAUUUUGGACAAUUGGGCGAAAGCCUGAUCCAGCAAUGCCGCGUGUGUGAAGAAGGCCUUCGGGUUGUAAAGCACUUUUUGUCCGGAAAGAAAUCCUUGGCUCUAAUACAGUCGGGGGAUGACGGUACCGGAAGAAUAAGCACCGGCUAACUACGUGCCAGCAGCCGCGGUAAUACGUAGGGUGCAAGCGUUAAUCGGAAUUACUGGGCGUAAAGCGUGCGCAGGCGGUUUGCUAAGACCGAUGUGAAAUCCCCGGGCUAACCUGGGAACUGCAUUGGUGACUGGCAGGCUAGAGUAUGGCAGAGGGGGGUAGAAUUCCACGUGUAGCAGUGAAAUGCGUAGAGAUGUGGAGGAAUACCGAUGGCGAAGGCAGCCCCCUGGGCCAAUACUGACGCUCAUGCACG
rnacentral:rRNA from 1 species